rnacentral:rRNA from 1 species
GAGAGUAUCCUAAGGCCAGCGAGAGAACUGUUGUUAAGGAACUCGGCUAAAUGACCCCGUAACUUAGGGAGAAGGGGUGCCUUCGAAAGAAGGCCGCAGAGAAUAGGCCCAAGCGACUGUUUACCAAAAACAUAGGUUUCUGCUAAGUCGCAAGACGAUGUAUAGGAGCUGACGCCUGCCCGGUGCUGGAAGGUUAAGGGGAUCUGUUAGAGCAAUCGAAGCAAUGAACUUAAGCCCCAGUAAACGGCGGCCGUAACUAUAACGGUCCUAAGGUAGCGAAAUUCCUUGUCGGGUAAGUUCCGACCCGCACGAAAGGCGUAACGAUUUGGGCACUGUCUCAACAACAGACUCGGUGAAAUUGUAAUACCGGUGAAGAUGCCGGUUACCUGCGACAGGACGGAAAGACCCCAUGGAGCUUUACUGUAGCUUGACAUUGAGUCUCGGUGCUACAUGUACAGGAUAGGUGGGAGACUAUGAAGCAUGGACGUCAGUCUGUGUGGAGUCAUCCUUGGGAUACCACCCUUGUAGUACUGGGAUUCUAACCAGAGGCCAUGAAUCUGGUCUUGGGACACUGUCAGGUGGACAGUUUGACUGGGGCGGUCGCCUCCCAAAAAGUAACGGAGGCGCUCAAAGGUUCUCUCAGUACGGUCGGAAAUCGUACGAAGAGUGUAAAGGCAAAAGAGAGCUUGAUUGCAAGACAUACAGGUCGAGCAAGGACGAAAGUCGGACUUAGUGAUCCGGUGGUUCCGCAUGGAAGGGCCAUCGCUCAACGGAUAAAAGCUACCCUGGGGAUAACAGGCUGAUCUCCCCCAAGAGUCCACAUCGACGGGGAGGUUUGGCACCUCGAUGUCGGCUCAUCACAUCCUGGGGCUGUAGUAGGUCCCAAGGGUUGGGCUGUUCGCCCAUUAAAGUGGUACGCGAGCUGGGUUCAGAACGUCGUGAGACAGUUCGGUCCCUAUCCGUCGCAGGCGUAGGAGAUUUGAGGAGACCUGUCCUUAGUACGAGAGGACCGGGAUGGACGUACCGCUGGUGUACCAGUUGUUCUGCCAAGGGCAUGGCUGGGUAGCCAAGUACGGAAAGGAUAAGCGCUGAAAGCAUCUAAGCGCGAAGCCCACUUCAAGAUAAGAUUUCCCACCGCAAGGUUAAGAUCCCAGGAAGACUACCUGGUUGAUAGGUCAGAGGUGUAAGUGUAGUAAUAUAUUUAGCUUACUGAUACUAAUAGAUCGAGGACUUGACC